ACUCGGGCUCAAGUACAUUGCUCAGAAUCAGCCUCUCCCGAAAAGUGCUACUGGGCAGGGAACUUACGGCUUCUCGAAACGGCGCUCCAUGGACACGGCUCCAACGAGACAGGCCCGGCAGAAUCGGGAAUGCUUGGUGAAAGAAGUCAAGAACCCCCGUUUUCCGCGAUUCGUCGGAACAGCCCUCAUCAAAAAAGCUGAGAAUCCUCCCCGGCGUAUAACAGCACAGAAAACCUCACACAUCUAGAGCAUGCAGAGGAUUCCGUCUCACCAGACAUUCAUAAUAAAACAACCAAACCGGAGGAUUUCACCGUUUUAAAGGACACCGGCUAUUAUGGGAUGCAGCCAACCUUCUUGAUUCAGCCAAUUCUUUGGUGGAAACCCCCGGACCUGAAAUAGAACAAGCUCAGCAUUUCACAGCCUUUUCCAGGGCUCUAACAUCCCGAAAGGUUUUGCUCCACAAACGAUUGGGGGCUUUACUCCAGCGACAAUACCGUCAGGAUCUAUCCUUAUGGCAUAGAACAAUGCCACUGUCACGC